GAUAGAUGUGGGUUAAUUGUGGAAUUGCUACCCAGCUGCAGAGAAAGCAACGAAUAUUCUCAUGUUUUCCACACAAAAUCAAAAUGUAUUAUCUUCAACUCGGGUAAAUUGUAGAGACUUUUACGUGAGUGUUACAGUUUGUGUCGGUUUUGUGUUUGUUUCUCCAAAAGACGCCAUUCGCCGCAUCAGAUUCUGGGACGGCUGUUUUGAUACUGCGCCUCAGAUGACUGCAAGUCGGAAGUUCGACCCAGAAGAAGUUGACCGUGGAAAAGUGUGGCAAGGUGUGACAUCCUCUUCAAGAUCUGUGGUUCUCAACUGGUUUGGCUGCAUCACCCACCAUCACCCCUCAGUGACCAACGGCGCCCCAAAUUGAGGACAUUUUUCAACUCCGACUUCUCAGAUAUCUUAAGGCAAAGACCCGCAACCCACUAAAAACGGCGCCACGACCCCACCAGUUGAGAAAGCUCUGCUGCUUUUAACCACAUUGAAAACGCCCUCAUCAAAGAUCCUCAAUAUGACAGGGUCGCGGGGCUAUGCUGGAGCCUAUCCCAGCUAACUUCGGGCGAGAGGUGGGGUACAUCUUGGACUGGUCGCCAAGCCAAUCGAAGCUAUAUGUCAAUUACGUAUAAGAAAUCAAGUUUGGACCGGGUGUUGAUUCAGCACCAUGGUCAGUGGUCCUCGAGGCAGAUUUUCAACCCCUAUGAAGACUUUUUCUGGAUUUGGAGGCAAACGAUUCUCUUCGAUUCCCAGCACCGUCUCCUGCGGUCAG